ensembl:lncRNA
AUGAGGGUGCUCAUGUGGAGGUUGCUGAGGAGACGGUGCUCACUGAGGAUGUUAUGUAAACUGCAUAUUUUUUUUUUUCCAGCAGUUCUGGUUUUCCUGUCCAGCCUGCCACCACUGGACCGUCCCUGUAUGGGUACAGAGCUAGCAAAAGAGCCAGGAAUCAACCCUUAUUUCGUCUUAUUCCAAAUGAUAUCAAGUGUUUGUAUUCUACCAAGUCAGAUAAACAUUCCUUCUCCCUUUGAAGAAAUCCACAAAAGAAAAAGCAAAAUACUGACAAGUUUUCAAAGCCAUGAUUUACAGGAAUGAAUUCUGAAAAGCAAGUGGCUAACAUCCGAGUUCAUCAUCAAAUAAUAUUUCUAAAGCACCCUCUAGUGUCUGGCCCCAAGCCAGAUGAUUCAACGCCUGGAGAAGCUACAGACUUUUUCAAAGUAAAAUAGACUCACGUCUGCUCUUGAGAAGCAAGUCGGCAUCAUUUAGGAUGCCUUAGGAAUGUCUCUCUAAAUAAGGAUUAAAAAUGGAUUGCUGUAGAAAAAUUAAUACAGGUACAAACACUAAUAAUAUUGAGUGCAAUUUAAAUUCCAUUUUAAAAUAGAUAAUAGGGUUUAAAAUAACAUGUCGAAAAUUGUACUGGAAUUAGCAAAAUUUAAAAUCUUAGGAAGAAGAAUCCUGAUUUGUAUGUGAAAAGGUUUUGAACUGAGGAAAAUUAAGACUAGCAAGAGUAGAUAGGGGUUGUCUAGUAGGAAUCAUAGACCCAUCAGCCAUCUGAUUAUGCUGUGACUGAUACUAGCCUGUAGUUUUCACCCAGUAAAUUAUCAAGUGGUACAGUAGAAAGAGCAUGGUAUGUAGAAUCAUAAGACUCAUAGUUUGGGGUCAACUCUACUAGUCAGUUGGCCAUGUGGUUUGGAACACAUCACAAAAGAUUUAUGAGCCUUCGCUUCUUCACAUGUAAAAUUGUGAUGAUUUUGCCAACUUCAUAGAAUUGUUUAGACUUUAGAGUAUUACAUAGGAUACAACGGACUAGUUCCUUGAACAAAGUACUUGUCCCCAAAAUGUUACUAUUUUUUCUAGUUGUGUGAUUGAUUUUGCAAUCAGCAAUUUAAUAUUAUGCAUUCAAUACGUUUAUAAUAUGCAUUCAAUGUGACUCGCAUAUAUUUCAUAAAAACAAAUUUGAAUAUUUUUCUCAUUUUGUCAUUCACAUAUCUUUGAGAAUGGCAUCAUAGUUUUAUUUUGAUAAUGAAGUAAUACAGUCAAUUCCUGAAUAGGCUAGUUGACUUUAAUGAGAAAUACCCAUUUAUUCAUUCAUUCAUUCAUUUCAUUUUCAACUUUUAAAUUAAAUCCAUAAUGGCCCCUUCACUAUGGGGUUCUUAUAUUAAUAAGAUGGACCAGAUACUUUUAUCACCUCAAAAAAAAUCUUUGUAGGCGGAGCAAUAAAGAGUACUGAAUCAUUUUAAGAAGUCACAUAGAAAAUGACUUUUGAACAUGGAAGGACUCGGCUUGAUCAAGCAAAUUCUAUUUCAAAGUUUUACUUCCAAGGUUAUUUAUUACUGUGUGGAAUCUCACUCCUGGGGCUGGGGUCAAGAAAAAUGGGGACACAGGUGUCUGCCUAUUUGCACAGGCAUUAAAAAGUAUUGUAAAAUGAGCUCCAGCCUUUUAAGUUACUGUCUUCUUUAUAAUAAUAAUCUUUUCCAUUUUACAAGGUCUAUAUUAUUUUUAGGUAAGAAAACACUGUAGAGUUCAUGUUUUAUUGUUCCUUGCAGUUAUAUAAAUUAUAUUUGGCCAAAACAAAUGUAAUUCCUACUGUGUGAACUGGGAACCCAAAAUGUUGAUUUUCCUCAAGUUAUAAACAAUGUGAAGAUAUGUUAUACUAGGUCACAAUUUUCCAGAGCAGAGCAAAAUAUAUAACUCAGUUUUAAUAACAAAACUGCAUAUAUCAUUAAAGCUUCCUACUCCACACAGAAUGUAUUAUAUUACUCUGCCCAGCAAGAGACAUCCUUUGUGUAGACCACAAUUUCUAAAAUACCAUUUGAUUGAAUAGAAAACAGGUUAGCCAUUUCUUAGUUUAAAAGAAAACAUAAUGGGUAAAUGCUCAUGGACAUUCUGCUUUGCCUUUGCUAGUGAAUAUUAAAUUUCUUCUCACUAAGUUUAAAUGUCACAGAUUUUGUAAACAACAAGGUCUGGGGGAAAACCAUUAUGACCCUUUUCUGACUAUUAGAUGAAUCUUCAUAUUUUUAGCAACUUAGAAGCAGAUGUCCUCUCCUUUUCAGCACCAAUAAACCUUAUUUAUACAUGUACUAUAUCAACUUCAAGCCUUAUUGUAAUUAUUUACGUACAAGUCUGCCUCCCCAAAUAGACUUGCAACUUAAGGCAAAAUCCAGACUGCAUUAUGUUUGUAUUCUGAGCCCCUGGUUCAAUGUCUACCACAAAGCUGGAGCUCUAGAAAUAUUAAAUAAAAGUGUAUAUGCUGAAAAUUCACCACCAAAUUGUUAAUUUACCCACCCGCCAUUCCUUUCAGAAUAACUCCAAAAUUUAAGAAAUUGUAAGUACUAUCUCUACAACACUGAUAGGAAUCAGGAACUAUUUCCUUUAUUACAAACUCACAGAUGGGAUUAUUAGCUAGUCUGUCCUCCUUAUUUCACAGAUGGGGAUUUGAGGGACCAGAUGAAGGAAGCUUCUUUACUCUUGCUAUAUCAUAAAACUGAUACCAAUUAUGUUUAUAUGAUAUAAAAGUAGUCCAUGUUAAUUCUAAACAUUUUGACAAGUUCAAACAUACAUAAAGGAGCCAGCAACCACAUGAAAAGAUAACUUGAAAAAUCAUUAAAUGUAAAUCAAAACCACAAUGAGGUAUUACCUCAAACUUAUGAGGAAAGCAAAGCAGAAACCAGAAACUACCAAAUGUUGGUGAGUAUGUGGAGAAACUGGAACCCUUGUGUGCUGUUAGUUGGCUUGUAAAAUGGUGCAACUGCUAUGGAAUAGUAUGACAGUUCUUCCAAAAAUUAAAAAUAGAAUCACAGCAUGAUCUAGUCAUUUUACUUCUGGGUAUAUAUCCAAGAGAAUUGAAAGCAGGGUCUUGAAGAGAUAUCUGCAUGCCCUUGUUUAUAGAGGCAAAACCCAAAUGUCCAUCAGGGUAUUAAUGGACAAACAAAAUAAGAAAUGGAAUCUUACCCAAUCUUAAAACAGGAAGGUAAUCUGUCACAUUCUACAACAUGGAUGAACCUUGAGGACAUUAUUUUUAGUAAAACAUUCCAGUCACAAAAAAUCAAAUACUGUAUUAUUUCACUAAUAUGAGCUCUCCAAAUUAGUCAAAUUCAUACAGACUGAAAAUAAAAUGUGAUUUUUCAGGGGCUACAGGGAGGCAGUACUGGGGAGUUGUUCAAUGCAUGUAGAGUCUCAGUUUUGCAAAAUAAAAAUUUCUGGAAGUAUGUUGCAUCAUAAUGUGAAUAUACUCAACACUACUGAAUAUACACUUAAAAAUGGUUAAGAUAGUAUUUUAUUUUUUUCUACACUUAAAAAUGU